rnacentral:misc_RNA from 1 species
GAAAUGCGAUACGUAAUGUGAAUUGCAGAAUUCAGUGAAUCAUCGAAUCUUUGAACGCUUAUUGAUAUGCUUGUUUGAGUAUCUGUAAACAUCUCAAAUCUCUCUUCGCUUGCGUCGAGAGAAUUGGAUUUGAGCGAUCCCGACUCCUUCGUCAGAAAGAGGAGGGUCGCUUGAAAUGCAGGUACCAGCUGGACAUUCUUCUGAGCUAAAAGCAUAUCUAUUUAGUCCCGUCAAACGGAUUAUUACUUUUGCUUCAGCUAAUAUAAAGGUCGAAUGAACUACCAACGCUGAUUGCAGGAAAACUUGUUCGUUUAUUCGGACUUGUAAACUCGAUCUCAAAUCAAGUAAGACUACCCGCUGAACUUAA